GACGAACGCUGGCGGCGUGCUUAACACAUGCAAGUCGAACGGAAAGGCCCUGCUUUUGUGGGGUGCUCGAGUGGCGAACGGGUGAGUAACACGUGAGUAACCUGCCCUUGACUUUGGGAUAACUUCAGGAAACUGGGGCUAAUACCGGAUAGGAGCUCCUGCUGCAUGGUGGGGGUUGGAAAGUUUCGGCGGCUGGGGAUGGACUCGCGGCUUAUCAGCUUGUUGGUGGGGUAGUGGCUUACCAAGGCUUUGACGGGUAGCCGGCCUGAGAGGGUGACCGGCCACAUUGGGACUGAGAUACGGCCCAGACUCCUACGGGAGGCAGCAGUGGGGAAUAUUGCACAAUGGGCGGAAGCCUGAUGCAGCAACGCCGCGUACGGGAUGACGGCCUUCGGGUUGUAAACCGCUUUCGCCUGUGACGAAGCGUGAGUGACGGUAAUGGGUAAAGAAGCACCGGCUAACUACGUG
rnacentral:rRNA from 1 species